CUUCUCGCUGACGAGCGGCGGACGGGUGAGUAAUGUAUGGGGAUCUGCCCGAUAGAGGGGGAUAACUACUGGAAACGGUAGCUAAUACCGCAUAAUCUCUUAAGAGCAAAGCAGGGGAACUUCGGUCCUUGCGCUAUCGGAUGAACCCAUAUGGGAUUAGCUAGUAGGUGAGGUAAUGGCUCACCUAGGCGACGAUCCCUAGCUGGUCUGAGAGGAUGAUCACCCACACUGGGACUGACACACGGCCCACACUCCUACGGGAGGCAGCAGUGGGGAAUAUUGCACAAUGGGCGCAAGCCUGAUGCACCCAUGCCGCGUGUAUGAAGAAGGCCCUAGGGUUGUAAAGUACUUUCAGUCGGGAGGAAGGCGUUGAUGCUAAUAUCAUCAACGAUUGACGUUACCGACAGAAGAAGCACCGGCUAACUCCGUGCCAGCAGCCGCGGUAAUACGGAGGGUGCAAGCGUUAAUCGGAAUUACUGGGCGUAAAGCGCAUCCGGCCAGGCCGGCUUGGACUUAAGUUAGAUGUGAAAUCCCCUGGGCCUUAACCUGGGAAUAGCAUCUAAGACCUGGUCAGCCUAGAGUCUUGUAGAGGGGGGGUAGAAUUUCCAUGUGUAGCGGUGAAAUGCGUAGAGAUGUGGAGGGAAUACCCGGUGGGCGAAAGGCGGCCCCCCUGGACACAAGACUGACGCUCAGGUGCGAAAGCGUGGGGGAGCAAACACGGAUUAGAUACCCUGGUAGUCCACGCUGUAAACGAUGUCGAUUUGAAGGUUGUUCCCUUUGAAGAGUGGCUUUCAGAGCUAACGCGUAUAAAUCGACCCGCCUGGAGAGUACGCCCGCAAGUGUUUAAAAACUCAAUAAUGAAUUUGACGGGGGCGCCCCCGCCAACAAGCGGGUGGCAGCGAUGUGGUUUUAAAUUUCGGAUGCAACGCAGAAAGAACUCCUUUCACCUACUCGUUGAUCAUCCAGAAGAACUUUAGCAGAGACUUGCUUUGAGCUUGCCCUUCCGGGAAUCUCAUGAGACCAGGUGCCUAGCAUUGCCUGUCGAUCAGCUUCGUGCUGAUGAAAUGAUGGAUUAAGUCCCGCAACGAGCGCAACCCUUAUCCUUUGUUGCCAGCGAUUCGGUCGGGAACUCAAAGGAGACUGCCGGUGAUAAACCGGAGGAAGGUGGGGAUGACGUCAAGUCAUCAUGGCCCUUACGAGUAGGGCUACACACGUGCUACAAUGGCGUAUACAAAGAGAAGCGACCUCGCGAGAGCAAGCGGAACUCAUAAAAUACGUCGUAGUCCGGAUUGGAGUUUGCAACUCGACUCCAUGAAGUCGGAAUCGCUAGUAAUCGUAGAUCAGAAUGCUACGGUGAAUACGUUCCCGGGCCUUGUACACACCGCCCGUCACACCAUGGGAGUGGGUUGCAAAAGA
rnacentral:rRNA from 1 species